GAUGAACGCUGGCGGCGUGCCUAACACAUGCAAGUCGAGCGAACAGAUGAGGAUCUUGCUCCUCUCACGUUUGCGGCGCACGUGUGUGUAACACGUGUAUCACCUACCUAUAAGUCUGGUAUCACUUCGGGAAACCGGCGCUAAUCCCGGAUGAUAUCCUGCACCGCAUGGUUCAAUGGUGAAUGUCGGCUGUGCUGUCUGUUCUAGCUGGAUCCGCGCCGCAUUGGCUGGUUGGUAAGGUAAAGGGCUAUCAGGGCUAGUAUGCGUAGCCGACCGGAGAGAGUGGUCGGCGGCACGGGAAGUGAGACGCGGUCCAGGCUACUGCGGGAGGCAGCAGUAGGGAAUCUUCCGCAGUGGGCGGAAGCCUGACGGAGCAGCGCCACGUGAGUGAUGGAGGUCUUCGGUUCGUGAAGCUCUGUUAUGGGGGGAAAACAAAUGUGUAAGUAACUGUGCACGUCUUGACGGUACCUGAUCAGAAAGCCACGGCUAACUACGUG
rnacentral:rRNA from 1 species